UUCAGUUUUUUAGCCUCACCCUUGUGAAGUCAGAGUCAUGUAAUUCUAGCUAAUAUUUUCAUUAGAUAUUGUUCUGUGUUGGUUUUCUCUGUUCAUUUUUUAGGGCCCCCUGAAACACCCCAAUCAACCUGGCUCUGAUCAUUUAGACUAUGAUGAUGCCCCUGAGAUGGACCCCCUGACACACCCCAAUCAACCUGGCUCUGAUCAUUUAGACUAUGAUGAUGCCCCUGAGAUGAACAAGGAAAUGAUUUACCCUGGGGCAUCAGUAACAAAGGGGCAAUGUCUUAUGGCAAAAAUCCUCUUUGUUCUGCAUCAUCACCUGACUGGAACUGCACUGAUAGACCUACUUGCCUUGCUGAAUUUGCUUGUCCCCAAUUUGGUUCCAACAUCUAAAUAUCUCUUCAAAAGAAUGUUGGGUAACCCAGCCCUGACAGCUGUCUCUCAUUUAUUUUGUGUUGAAUGCCAGAAUUACUUAGGAAAGCAAUGUGGAACGUCCUUCAUCAGAGAAACAAAAUGUUUAUUUGGGCCAAUACCUUUGAGGGACCUUCUGCGAGAUACACUGGAGAACCAUGGAAUAGAUAUUUUGAGGAAAACAGUGAAGGAAGAAGAAUGUGAAAUUGAGGAUGUCAUGGAUGGAAAGAUGUACCAGGCAUUACUGAAAGAGAAGAGGCUAUCUGCUGAUGAUUUAACAUGAACCUGGAACUGUGAUGGAGUAUCCGGUUUUAACUCCUCAAAUGACUCAGUUUGGCCCCUUCCAUUUACCAUAAAUGAACUGCCUUACAUACAUCGGAAAGAAAAUAUGAUGAUUGCAGGACGUUGGUUUGGCCCAGAAAACCCCAGAAUGGGUAACCUUUUAAAACCUUUUAUUGAUGAAUGUUAUGAUUCAUUACGUUGGAGAGAGAACAGUGCGAUUCUGAAGAGGACAAAGGUCUUCUCCUUGAUUUGUUCCUCGGAUACAAUUGCCAGGCCAAUCCUUCGUUACCGUAAGCAAUUCAAUCGCGGAAUAUGGUUGUGACUGGUGCUUGCACCCCGUAAAGUUGUCCCCAAAGGCAGAGGAUAUGUAAGAUCCUGUCCUUACAGUCAACAACUGCAAAUUGAAAGAUCACACAAUCAAUUUAAGGGUAAUGCAUUUCAUGCUGCUCGCACUGACAUUCUGUAAAAUGGUGUAAAGGGGUUGUCAAAAUGGUGUAAAGGGGUUGUCAACACUGUUUUUUGUUCAACAUUGUGUUUGGUUUUGUGCCUGACUACGUGCAUUCUGUUCUCCUCUGCAUAACUCUGUUCUUUUUCUCUUCUUUUCUUUAGACUGAAUUGCAUUUGUCAAACAAACUGCUUAUGUCAAACUAUUCCCAUUGUUGUGGUUCAACCAUAUUGUCACGUUCUGACCAUAGUUAUUUUGUGUUGUCUUUGUUUUAGUGUUGGUCAGGACGUGAGGACGUGGGCAUUCCAUGUUGUAUGUCUA